AUUGAACGCUGGCGGCAGGCCUAACCCAUGCAAGUCGAACGAGUGGCGGACGGGUGAGUAAUGUCUGGGAAACUGCAUGAUGGAGGGGGAUAAAUACUGGAAACGGUAGCUAAUACCGCAUACCAUCAGAUGUGCCCAGAUGGGAUUAGCUAGUUGGUGGGGUAACGGCUAACCAAGGCGACGAUCCCUAGCUGGUCUGAGAGGAUGACCAGCCACACUGGAACUGAGCCACGGUCCAGACUCCUACGUGAGGCAGCAUUGGGGAAUAUUGCGCAAUGGGCGCAAGCCUGAUGCAGCCAUGCCGCGUGUAUGAAGAAGUCCUUCGGGUUGUAAAGUACUUUCAGCGGGGAGGCGUUACCCGCCGAAGAAGCACCGGCUAACUCCGUGCCAGCAGCCGCGGUAAUAC
rnacentral:rRNA from 1 species